rnacentral:lncRNA from 1 species
GGCCUUCAUCAAAACGUCUUCCGCCAACAUAAUACAUCGGGGCAUUCCCUGGUGAAUAAAUACAAUGUGUCUCGGGGCAUUUCCCGGCUCCAAAUGCGAGAAAGACAAACCAUUUCUCAAACAUUCAACGCAUUCAAUCAACACACCACUCCUAAAUUUUGCCUACCCGAACCUAAACAUUUUGCCUAUCCAAUGCGAACUAUCAUGAUACUAUAGAAUUCACAAACUUGAUUCCGAAUUAAGCAAAAUAACAACGAACCAACAUUAAACCAAAUUUACCCUUUUUAUCAAUCUCGCAAUUCCACCCUAAAUUCUCUUCUCAACACUAAAUUUCCACAAUUCACGAUUUCUAUUUCAACAAUCCACAAUCACUUUUCAAUGAAAAUUAAGCAACGAGUUAAUAUCAAAGUAGCAAUUCAUAACCAAUCAAGAUCAAACAACACACGAGAUUCCAUCCAAUGCACCAUAUUCCAUCAAUAAUGAAAUAAAAAGAGGAAAGGAGUAGAAAUGGACCUCAAUGAUGAUUUUAUUUCGAAUAUCAGUCAAUCGAGAAGACGACUCUGUGUGAUGAAGAACCUCGAGUCUGCCUCAAAAAAUACCACAACUCGACUACGAACCAACUCCAAUACGACAAUCUUCAAAACCCGAUCCCAAAACAAAACCCACGAAGGCCAGUGAGCCACUUAUCCACUGAGGUGACUUAGCCUAGUAGGGAGAGGGGUGACUUCUCAAUUACUCAGCCUGACAACUUAGCCACUGGUUUGUAUAUCAACAUGACUAGAGCUUCCCUCACUGUCAAUGUUCUGCACCAUAAUUGAUUCAUCUAGAAUCAUCUUUUCAAUUUCUCUUUUCAAAUCUCAACAAUCUUCAAUACUAUGACCCUGAGCAUCAUAAUGAUACGCACAUCGUACAUUAGGAUCAAAAUUUCUUGAACGCUAAUUAAGAGUGCACCCAAGGAGAGGAGUGAUCAUACCCUAUUGUACUAAUCUCUGAAAUAAACUUCCAUACGACUCUUCAAUUGGUAUGAAGCUAUCUCUCGACUUCUUCCUUAUUUCAUCAUUUGGCUUGGAUAAAUUAGGCUUAGGAGGGUUUUGGUAUGUUUACGGAGUUAGAGAAUGACUCUGAGGAGUUGGUGUGUUCCACUGUGGGUAAUAUGGGGGUUGAACAUGUGGUUAUGCGUUAUAUACUGGAUAUAGAGGUGGAGGAGUAGAGUAUAAUAGAUUUUGGGAAUGAUUAUGUGGAGUUUGGACAUGAACUUGGGUUUGAGCCUGAGAGUGACGACAAUGGGGUCUUCUUGACCGUGCCCGCUGUCCGACUACAAUAGAGGAUGGAACUUCCUUAUUCUUUGUCUCCCCAAUACUUCCUGAACCCUUUUGAAUUGCUUGAGUUGUCGCUUUCAAUGUUGCAAAACUCACAAUGCGACCCGUCUUAAUUCCCUCUUCUAUAAUCUCCCCCAUUUUAAGGACAUCAAUAAAUGACUUGCCCAAUGCAGGUAACAAGUGUUGAUAAUAUGUUCCAUUCUACGCUUGAAUAAACUCCUCUACUAUUUUUCUUUCUUUCAUUGGCGGUUUUACUCUAGCAGCUUGUUCACACCAUCUGAUCGCAUAUUUCCUGAAACUCUCAGUAUUCUUCUUUUUUAUACUAUUUAGGGAUUUUUCGUCAGGAAUCAACUCCACAUUGUAUUAAAAUUGUUGCACAAAUUCAUUAUCUAGGUCAUCCAAACUAAACCACUUGUCAAUGUCUUGGUCAACAAACCAUUCCAAAGCUAGUCCUGAAAGAUUCUCCCCGAAAUAAGCCAUGAGUAGUUCUUCCUUCCCCCAGCACCCCUUAGUUGGUAGCAAUAACGUAUCAAGUGUGCAAUAGGAUCACCAUGUCCAUCAUACUUCUCAAACUUCGGCAUGUUAAAGCCAAAAGGAAGAUGAACCCAAGAAAACAUGCACAGAUCAACAAACAUUCAACGCAUUUAAUCAACACACCACUCCUAAAUUUUGCCUACCCGAACCGAAACAUUUUGCCUAUCCAAUGCGACCUACCAUGAUACUAUAGAAUUCACAAACUUGAUUCCGAAUUAAGUAAAACAACAACAAACCAACAUUAAACCAUAUUUACCCUUUUUAUCAAUCUCGCAAUUCCACCCCAAAUUCUCUUCUCAACACUAAAUUUUCACAAUUCACAAUUUCUAUUUAAACAAUUCACAAUCACUUAUCAACGAAAAUUAAGAAACAAGUCAAUAUCAAAGUAGCAAUUCAUCACCAAUCAAGAUCAAACAACACACGAGAUUCCAUCCAAUGCACCAUAUUCCAUCAAUAAUGAAAUAAAAAGAGGAAAGAAGUAGAAAUGAACCUCAAUGAUGAUUUUAUUUCAAAUAUCAAUCAAUCGAGAAGACGACUCCGUGUGACGAAGAACCCCAAAUCAGCCUCGAAGAAUACCACAACUCGACUACGAACCAACUCCAACACGACAAUCUUCAAAACCCGAUCCCAAAAAAAAACCCACAAAGGCCAGUGAGCAAAUCUCAGCUUGGUAUCGAGAAAACUGUGACCUAAGACAGAGCACGAUGAACCCACCGAGAUAAACAAAACCCAAAUCCAAAUACAACACCAGCGUUAAAUUGUUUAGAAUCGAUUUAAAAAAGAAAUGUUGAUGGUGCUAUUACUGUUCACUUCUUUCCGAUGGUAUCGCCUGAAACAAAAAGAAACGACAAGGUAUGUUGGGUUUUCGGCACAGGGCAAGUUAACUCGAACGGGCCGGGAAAACUUGAGAAUCCCUUUCUCUCUGGUUUUCUCACUCUCUGACCAGUUCUCUCUGUCAAUCUCCUCGUUUUCUCAAUUUCUCUCUCAAUCGAUCUCUCCCACUCCUAUCUUUAUUCUCUCCGGUCACCUCACUCCUCGAUUUCCCUAUAUCAGUGUAUGUGUCCCCAGAUAUCGUGAGGUUGGUGAGUGUAUCCGUGAGCCAGAAGAAAUGAAAGAUAAUGUUGGUGUUUUCCUUUUUUCGUGAGUGGAAGAAUGAAGUGUCUUGUUGUGAUGGUAUAAGGUGGAGAAGAUGAUGUUUAUGGUGUCCCCUUAGUGGUGGGGCCCGUAUGUGUGUAUAUAUCCCUCAUGGUGUGAGAGAUUUUUCUUUUUCUCCAAGCUAACACCGUGUAAAAUAAUAUAAAAGGAGGAGGUAUGGUCACGUGGGAGAGGGUAGGGGUGGUGAUGAUAAGAUUUGUUAGGAUAAAGUUUUUUACGAUAAGGUUAGGGAUUUAAUUUGUUAGAGAUUUUGUUAAGGGUUGUUAUUUUUUGUAUUUUUGUGGGAUAUAAUCAUACGGAUGAG